rnacentral:snRNA from 1 species
CAAGUAACUUGGUGGCAACUACAUCAGCAUGUUAUCCAGGUGUGCUGACCCCUGGGAUUUCCCCAACUGUGGGAAACUUGACUGCAUAAUUUGUGGUAGAGGGGACUCGUUCACAUUCUCCCCU